GGCAAAAGCUCAAAUUUGAAAUCUGGUACCUUCGGUGCCCGAGUUGUAAUUUGGAGAGGGCAACUUUGGGGCCGUUCCUUGUCUAUGUUCCUUGGAACAGGACGUCAUAGAGGGUGAGAAUCCCGUGUGGCGAGGAGUGCGGUUCUUUGUAAAGUGCCUUCGAAGAGUCGAGUUGUUUGGGAAUGCAGCUCUAAGUGGGUGGUAAAUUCCAUCUAAAGCUAAAUAUUGGCGAGAGACCGAUAGCGAACAAGUACAGUGAUGGAAAGAUGAAAAGAACUUUGAAAAGAGAGUGAAAAAGUACGUGAAAUUGUUGAAAGGGAAGGGCAUUUGAUCAGACAUGGUGUUUUGUGCCCUCUGCUCCUUGUGGGUAGGGGAAUCUCGCAUUUCACUGGGCCAGCAUCAGUUUUGGUGGCAGGAUAAAUCCAUAGGAAUGUAGCUUGCCUCGGUAAGUAUUAUAGCCUGUGGGAAUACUGCCAGCUGGGACUGAGGACUGCGACGUAAGUCAAGGAUGCUGGCAUAAUGGUUAUAUGCCGCCCGUCUUGAA
rnacentral:rRNA from 1 species